GACGAACGCUGGCGGCGUGCUUAACACAUGCAAGUCGAACGGAAAGGCCCUGCUUUUGUGGGGUGCUCGAGUGGCGAACGGGUGAGUAACACGUGAGUAACCUGCCCUUGACUUUGGGAUAACUUCAGGAAACUGGGGCUAAUACCGGAUAGGAGCUCCUGCUGCAUGGUGGGGGUUGGAAAGUUUCGGCGGUUGGGGAUGGACUCGCGGCUUAUCAGCUUGUUGGUGGGGUAGUGGCUUACCAAGGCUUUGACGGGUAGCCGGCCUGAGAGGGUGACCGGCCACAUUGGGACUGAGAUACGGCCCAGACUCCUACGGGAGGCAGCAGUGGGGAAUAUUGCACAAUGGGCGGAAGCCUGAUGCAGCAACGCCGCGUGCGGGGUGACGGCCUUCGGGUUGUAAACCGCUUUCGCCUGUGACGAAGCGCGAGUGACGGUAAUGGGUAAAGAAGCACCGGCUAACUACGUG
rnacentral:rRNA from 1 species